ensembl:miRNA Mir7241 microRNA 7241
ACUUGCAUGAGCUAAUACCCACCUGGCUCUCUCCAGCCUGCGUAGUAGAUACUCAUGGGAGAGC